GUAGGGAAUCUUCCGCAAUGGACGAAAGUCUGACGGAGCAACGCCGCGUGAGUGAUGAAGGUUUUCGGAUCGUAAAGCUCUGUUGCCAGGGAAGAACGCUUGGGAGAGUAACUGCUCUCAAGGUGACGGUACCUGAGAAGAAAGCCCCGGCUAACUACGUGCCAGCAGCCGCGGUAAUACGUAGGGGGCAAGCGUUGUCCGGAAUUAUUGGGCGUAAAGCGCGCGCAGGCGGUCAAUUAAGUCUGGUGUUUAAGGCUGGGGCUCAACCCCAGUUCGCACUGGAAACUGGUUGACUUGAGUGCAGAAGAGGAAAGUGGAAUUCCACGUGUAGCGGUGAAAUGCGUAGAGAUGUGGAGGAACACCAGUGGCGAAGGCGACUUUCUGGGCUGUAACUGACGCUGAGGCGCGAAAGCGUGGGGAGCAAACAGGAUUAGAAACCCGAGUAGUCC
rnacentral:rRNA from 1 species